CCCAACCAGAUGGGAGACAGAGGAGAAAACAGAUGACCACUGCAUCUAAACAGACCCAGGCCAUAUUGAGAAAUCAGACUCGGAAAAGGUGGUGACGUGAAACAUGGAGAUAUGAAGUGAUGCCCAUGACCCUGCAAUGCGGAAUAACAGACCUGAAGAUUCCUUCUCCUCAAAAAGGCGGGAACUCAUCCUAGAUGGUGACCAGAGGAAAGAGAAAAUGGGUG